GGCCAUAUAAAGAUCUCUUCAAGGUUUGGCCAUAAAUUAGACUCUAUAAAGAUCUCUUCAAGGUCCGGCCCUAUAAAGAUCUCUUCAAGGUUCGGCCAUAAAUUAGACUCUAUAAAGAUCUCUUCAAGGUUUGGCCAUAUAAAGAUCUCUUCAAGGUUUGGCCAUAAAUUAGACUCUAUAAAGAUCUCUUCAAGGUUCGGCCCUAUAAAGAUCUCUUCAAGGUUCGGCCUUAUAAAGAUCUCUUCAAGGUUCGGCCAUAUAAAGAUCUCUUCAAGGUUCGGCCCUAUAAAGAUCUCUUCAAGGUUCGGCCAUAUAAAGAUCUCUUCAAGGUUCGGCCAUAUAAAGAUCUCUUCAAGGUUCGGCCCUAUAAAGAUCUCUUCAAGGUUCGGCCAUAUAAAAGGACAAACAGACUGGAGCACCGGGCUACUUCCUGGUUCCAAUCAUUCCAACGUUAGUGUGUGAAUACUGAAGAUUGCUGGUGUGGGUUGAAGAAAUGGCUUUGACUUUGACAUUGUAGCAGUGUUCACCUCUGAAGGGGCUGGAGGAAACGCUGUUCUCUAUACUGGGCCAUUGUGUUAUGAACAGUGUCCAAGUCAAGUGUGACAAACAUACAUAACCGGUAUGUAUAUACUGUACAUCAUAGAACAGAAGGGCUGAAGGAAGACUCUUCACUAAACAGUGUGUUUGGUGUUGAGUGUUAAUUAUGGACAAAUCAUUAGAUCCUUGGAUCUUACAUACAUCAUACAGCUGGAAGGAAAUUCCCUCCUGUGGCCUACUGGGUAAUAACAGUGGAGACAGCUGGAAAGACAACCCCUCCUGUGGCCUACUGGGUAAUAACAGUGGAGACAGCUGGAAUCACAACCCCUCCUGUGGCCUACUGGGUAAUAACAGUGGAGACAGCUGGAAGGACAACCCCUCCUGUGGCCUACUGGGUAAUAACAGUGGAGACAGCUGGAAGGACAACCCCUCCUGUGGCCUACUGGGUAAUAACAGUAGAGACAGCUGGAAGGACAGUAGGCCACAGGAGGGGUUGUCCUUCCAGCUGUCUCCACUGUUAUUACCCAGUAGGCCACAGGAGGGGUUGUGGCCUACUGGGUAAUAACAGUGGAGACAGCUGGAAGGACAACCCCUCCUGUGGCCUACUGGGUAAUAACAGUGGAGACAGCUGGAAGGACAACCCCUCCUGUGGCCUACUGGGUAAUAACAGUGGAGACAGCUGGAAGGACAACCCCUCCUGUGGCCUACUGGGUAAUAACAGUGGAGACAGCUGGAAGGACAACCCCUCCUGUGGCCUACUGGCUAAUAACAGUGGAGACAGCUGGAAGGACAACCCCUCCUGUGGCCUACUGGGUAAUAACAGUGGAGACAGCUGGAAGGACAACCCCUCCUGUGGCCUACUGGGUAAUAACAGUGGAGACAGCUGGAAGGACAACCCCUCCUGUGGCCUACUGGGUAAUAACAGUGGAGACAGCUGGAAGGACAACCCCUCCUGUGGCCUACUGGGUAAUAACAGUGGAGACAGCUGGAAGGACAACCCCUCCUGUGGCCUACUGGGUAAUAACAGUGGAGACAGCUGGAAGGACAACCCCUCCUGUGGCCUACUGGGUAAUAACAGUGGAGACAGCUGGAAGGACAACCCCUCCUGUGGCCUACUGGGUAAUAACAGUGGAGACAGCUGGAAGGACAACCCCUCCUGUGGCCUACUGGGUAAUAACAGUGGAGACAGCUGGAAGGACAACCCCUCCUGUGGCCUACUGGGUAAUAACAGUGGAGACAGCUGGAAGGACAACCCCUCCUGUGGCCUACUGGGUAAUAACAGUGGAGACAGCUGGAAGGACAACCCCUCCUGUGGCCUACUGGGUAAUAACAGUGGAGACAGCUGGAAGGACAACCCCUCCUGUGGCCUACUAUAACAGUGGAGACAGCUACAGUACCU
rnacentral:lncRNA from 1 species